AGUGGAAAAGGAUGUGGGGUUGCACAGACAACUAGGAUGUUAGCUUAGAAGCAGCUAUUCAUUCAAAGAGUGCGUAAUAGCUCACUAGUCGAGUGACCCUGCGCCGAAAAUGUACCGGGGCUAAAACAUAUUACCGAAGCUGUGGAUGACACAAAAGUGUCAUGGUAGGAGAGCGUUCUAUGUGUGAAGAAGGUGUACCGUGAGGAGCGCUGGAACGCAUAGAAGUGAGAAUGCCGGUAUGAGUAGCGCAAGACAGGUGAGAAUCCUGUCCACCGUAAGACUAAGGUUUCCAGGGGAAGGCUCGUCCGCCCUGGGUUAGUCGGGACCUAAGGAGAGACCGAAAGGUGUAUCCGAUGGACAACAGGUUGAUAUUCCUGUACUAGAGUAUAUAGUGAUGGAGGGACGCAGUAGGCUAACUAAACCAGACGAUUGGAAGUGUCUGGUCAAACAGUGAGGUGUGAUAUGAGUCAAAUGCUUAUAUCUUUAACAUUGAGCUGUGACGAGGAGCGAAGUUUAGUAGCGAAGUUAGUGAUGUCACACUGCCAAGAAAAGCUUCUAGCGAUACAUAUACUCUACCCGUACCGCAAACCGACACAGGUAGUCGAGGCGAGUAGCCUCAGGUGAGCGAGAGAACUCUCGUUAAGGAACUCGGCAAAAUGGCCCCGUAACUUCGGGAGAAGGGGCGCUGAUUUUAGAUCAGCCGCAGUGAAUAGGCCCAAGCAAC
rnacentral:rRNA from 1 species